UGGUGAUGAUGAUGGUGAUGAUGAUGGUGAUGAUGAUGAUGAGGAGGAGGAGGACAAUCACCAUCAUCGUCAUCAUCAUCACUAUGAGCAUCGUCA
rnacentral:pre_miRNA from 1 species